GCAAAAUAUCAUGGGAUUAUUAUUUUUUUUUUAAUUCACUGUAGGAAACCAUUAAUUGCCUUCAUCUCCUGGCUUGAUUGGAUGAGAUUGUUGGAUUUGUUACUAUUUUUUAUGCGGUGCAUAUAACUUUUAGUUCUAUGGAUAAGUGUUUUAAUCAAGUUUGAAUACUUACUGUUAAAAUGUUAAACAUUGCGGAGUUCAGGAUCUGUGUGUGUGUGUUUGUGUAAUUUUAUUUUAACUACUUAAAAUAUUAAAGAAAAAAAGAAGGGGAAUAGGUUCACAUCUUUAUCAUAAUGAGAAAUAUGCAUGUUUUUGUCUCAAGGUUGUUAA
rnacentral:misc_RNA from 1 species